rnacentral:rRNA from 1 species
UGGGGAAUAUUGCACAAUGGGCGCAAGCCUGAUGCAGCCAUGCCGCGUGUAUGAAGAAGGCCUUCGGGUUGUAAAGUACUUUCAGCGGGGAGGAAGGGAGUAAAGUUAAUACCUUUGCUCAUUGACGUUACCCGCAGAAGAAGCACCGGCUAACUCCGUGCCAGCAGCCGCGGUAAUACGGAGGGUGCAAGCGUUAAUCGGAAUUACUGGGCGUAAAGCGCACGCAGGCGGUUUGUUAAGUCAGAUGUGAAAUCCCCGGGCUCAACCUGGGAACUGCAUCUGAUACUGGCAAGCUUAAGUCUCGUAGAGGGGGGUAGAAUUCCAGGUGUAGCGGUGAAAUGCGUAGAGAUCUGGAGGAAUACCGGUGGCGAAGGCGGCCCCCUGGACGAAGACUGACGCUCAGGUGCGAAAGCGUGGGGAGCAAACAGG